GUCUCUCGGUUGCGGUAGCAGCAACCUUUCUUCUUCUUCUUUUCUUCUUCUUCUUUUUCUUUUCUUCACCACACCAUCAACUUUCGUCCGAUCAAAAAGUUACAUAUUUGCUUUUGUUGAUAAGAAGAUUGAACAAAGAAAACAUUGGUUGAUUAAUCAAGCACCAGCUGAUUAAGGUUGGCUCAACUGAGGGCAGAGUUGAUGUCCAUCAUUUGGAUUUGGAUGAUUCUCAGCAAGAGAAAAACUUCACCUUCAAAUGUAUAGAAUUAUUGCUGCGAUUGAAGCAACGAUGGGUUGAGCUGAAAAUGGACUGAUUAGAUGUAUGUUAGGUGUUAUAGGGAAGGAUUUGGAAGGAUUUGUGUUUGCUUAUUGUAAUACUUGUGUUUGAUCUUUGUAAUUUGUCCUAAAUUAACUUAAUUAAAAUUU